GACGUAGGGCGCGAGCGUUGUCCGGAUUUAUUGGGCGUAAAGAGCUCGUAGGCGGCUUGUCGCGUCGUCCGUGAAAACCUGCAGCUCAACUGCAGGCUUGCGGUCGAUACUGGCAAGCUAGAGUCCCGGAGAGGAUGGUGGAACUCUCGGUGUAGAGGUGAAAUUCGUAGAUAUCGAGAAGAACACCGGUGGCGAAGGCGGCCAUCUGGACGGUGACUGACGCUGAGACGCGAAAGCGUGGGGAGCAAACAGG
rnacentral:rRNA from 1 species